CCUACGGGAGGCUGCAGUGGGGAAUAUAGCACAAUGGGCGAAAGCCUGAUGCAGCGACGCCGCGUGAGUGAAGAAGUCUUUCGGUAUGUAAAGCUCUAUCAGCAGGGAAGAAAAUUACGGUACCUGCCUAAGAAGCCCCGGCUAACUACGUGCCAGCCGCCGCGGUACUACGUAGGGAGCAAGCGUUAUCCGGAUUUACUGGGUGUAACGGGAGCGUAGACGGCCUGACAAGUCAGUAGUGAAAGCCGAGGGCUCAACCUUGGGAUUGCGUUUGAAACUGGCGGGCUGGAGUGCAGGAGAGGUAAGCGGAAUUCCUGGUGUAGCGGUGAAAUGCGUAGAUAUCAGGAGGAACAGCAGUGGCGAAGGCGGCUUACUGGACUGUAACUGACGUUGAGGCUCGAAAGCGUGGGUAGCAAACAGGAUUAGAUACCCUUGUAGUC
rnacentral:rRNA from 1 species